AGAGUUUGAUCAUGGCUCAGAAUCAACGCUGGCGGCGUGCCUCAGACAUGCAAGUCGAACGCGAAAGCUCCCUUCGGGGAGCAAGUAGAGUGGCGCACGGGUGAGUAACACGUAGGUAAUCUACCUUCGGAUGGGGAAUAACAACCGGAAACGGUUGCUAAUACCGCAUAAUGCAGCGGCACCUAAUGGUGACAGUUGUUAAAGCGGGGGAUCGCAAGACCUCGCGUCUGAAGAGGAGCCUGCGGCGGAUUAGCUAGUUGGUAAGGUAACGGCUUACCAAGGCGAUGAUCCGUAGCCGGCCUGAGAGGGCGGUCGGCCACACUGACACUGACAUACGGGUCAGACUCCUACGGGAGGCAGCAGUCGGGAAUUUUGGGCAAUGGGCGAAAGCCUGACCCAGCAACGCCGCGUGAAGGAUGAAAUCCCUCGGGAUGUAAACUUCGCAAGAACGGGAAGAAUAAGUCCGUGCCAACACCACGGGCGAUGACGGUACUGUUUGUAAGCUCCGGCUAACUCCGUGCCAGCAGCGGCGGUAAUAC
rnacentral:rRNA from 1 species